GUGGGGAAUUUUGGACAAUGGGGGCAACCCUGAUCCAGCCAUUCCGCGUGAGUGAAGAAGGCCUUCGGGUUGUAAAGCUCUUUCAGCAGGAACGAAACGGUGGCCCCUAAUACGGGCUGCUAAUGACGGUACCUGAAGAAGAAGCACCGGCUAACUACGUGCCAGCAGCCGCGGUAAUACGUAGGGUGCGAGCGUUAAUCGGAAUUACUGGGCGUAAAGCGUGCGCAGGCGGUUCCAUAAGACAGAUGUGAAAUCCCCGGGCUUAACCUGGGAACUGCGUUUGUGACUGUGGGACUUGAGUGUGGCAGAGGGGGGUGGAAUUCCACGUGUAGCAGUGAAAUGCGUAGAGAUGUGGAGGAACACCGAUGGCGAAGGCAGCCCCCUGGGUCAACACUGACGCUCAUGCACGAAAGCGUGGGGAGCAAACAGGAUUAGAAACCCCAGUAGUCC
rnacentral:rRNA from 1 species